GUACGAAUUGUGUGGUCUUGGUUGUACACGUAACCCAUUUCGUUCCUUAUUAAAUGUCAUAAGUGUGACCUUUCAACUGCUUGUACGUUUAUUUCAUACACAAAAUUUCUCUCCCUCUCCCUUGUUUUCUCUCUUACUCCCAACUCCAUUUCCUCACCUGCAAAUAUACAUUGUCAACCGUACCAUAUCCGUACCAAUUCAGCAAGCUAAGGGCCACCAAAAAAAAUGGUGACAAUGGGAUUGGAGAGGUUGAUGGGGACAUUCAAGACAAAGUUGCGGAGGUCUUUCAAGGGGAAAAAACCUCAUGAUUAUGAUGAGAUUGAGAAGAGUGAGAGUAUGAGAAUCGAGAUUAGAAGCAAAAAAGCUCGAAAAUUGAUUGAAGAGACUCUCAAAUUUGCUGAUUCUCCCACUAAGAAAACGCUUUCCAUUUGAUAUUAUAUUGGAGUGUUAUCUUCAACAACCUAUAUCUUAAUUAUGGUGGUACAUCAAUUAUUAUUAUUAUUGUACAAUUCACACACUAGUCACAUGUUAAGCGUCUAUACUCUAUACUCUAUAGGGAAGCAAAAUAUGCAGUUCAUUUUGUCAUCACAUUCAAGAUUAUCAAGACAUCGACUCUUUAGUUUUAAUUAACUAUGAGAUCGAAAAGGUUACCAUAUAUAAAACCAUCGUUGUAUUUCCAAAGGAAUAAAAAAAAAUGGAUGCAACAUGUAUGAGUUGAGGUUGUUUUAUGGUUAUACCGUUAUGUUAAACUUGUGAUCGUAUUGUGA